CAAUAGCGUAUAUUAAAGCUGUUGCGGUUAAAAAGCUCGUAGUUGGAUUUCUGUCAAGGACAACUGGUCCGCCCUCCGGGUGAGCACAUAGUUUGGUCUUGGCAUCUUGCUGGAAGCUGUUGCUGCACUUGGCUGUGUGGCGCAGCGUCCAGCACUUUCACUUUGAGGAAAUUGGAGUGUUUCAAGCAGGCACAUGCCUUUGGACACAGUAGCAUGGAAUAAUUAGAUUGGGCUUUUGCUCCAAUUUGUCGGUUUCUGGAGCUGAGGUGAGAAUUAAUGGGGAUUGUUGGGGGCAUCCGAAUUUAGCCGUCAGAGGUGAAAUUCUUGGAUUUGUUAAAGACGGACUACUGCGAAAGCAUUUGCCAAGGAUGUUUUCAUUGA
rnacentral:rRNA from 1 species